rnacentral:rRNA from 1 species
UACGUAGGGGGCAAGCGUUGUCCGGAUUUAUUGGGCGUAAAGAGCGUGUAGGCGGCCAUACAGGUCCGUUGUGAAAACUCGAGGCUUAACCUCGAGACGUCGAUGGAAACCGUAUGGCUAGAGUCCGGAAGAGGAGAGUGGAAUUCCUGGUGUAGCGGUGAAAUGCGCAGAUAUCAGGAAGAACACCCGUGGCGAAGGCGGCUCUCUGGGACGGUACUGACGCUGAGACGCGAAAGCGUGGGGAGCGAACAGG